UUCAUCGCUUUGAAGGGAAAUAGUAAAGCCCCCUUUCUGCUCCAGAGAACGCGAUCCAUUGGCUGGAAGAUCGCGUGCAUGAAACAGCUUGAACCCAUCCCAGAGCGGCUAGGGAUGACCUAGACAGGAUUCUUUCCCCUGUUAUCAAGGAAAGCGCUUAUCGGCCAUGUAUGGCUUUCUUAAGUGUAAAGAUAGAUGUCGAUCCAUGUAAGGGUUGGUUCGGCAUUUAAUUAAGGUGGUACCGCGAAAGUAAACCUUUCGUCCUUAUG
rnacentral:ncRNA from 1 species